GAGCCCCGAGGGGCGCUGCUCGGGGCUCCCGGGGCGGCCCCGAUCGGCGCUGCAGGACCUGCUGGCCGGGAGAGGAGAGGGAAAAUGGGAGAGAUCCGGGAGGAAUUCCGUGCAGAGAGCGAGGCCCCGCGCGCUGCCAGGAGCUCGUCUGCCGCGGGAGGGUUCUGGCGCCGGUGACAGCGAUGGGGUAUGAUGUGGCACGCUUCCAGGGGGACGUGGACGAGGACCUGAUCUGCCCCAUCUGCAGCGGGGUCCUGGAGGAGCCGGUGCAGGUAGGGCCCACCUGGGCACCGGGGGUGCAGGUGGGACCCAG